rnacentral:tRNA from 1 species
GCCCUCUUAGCUCAGUUGGCAGAGCACCGCCAUGGUAAGGCGGAGGUCUCCGGUUCAAACCCGGAAGAGGGCUCAA